rnacentral:rRNA from 1 species
UACGGAGGGGGCUAGCGUUGUUCGGAAUUACUGGGCGUAAAGCGCACGUAGGCGGCUUUGUAAGUUAGAGGUGAAAGCCCGGGGCUCAACCCCGGAACUGCCUUUAAGACUGCAUCGCUUGAAUCCAGGAGAGGUGAGUGGAAUUCCGAGUGUAGAGGUGAAAUUCGUAGAUAUUCGGAAGAACACCAGUGGCGAAGGCGGCUCACUGACCUGGUAUUGACGCUGAGGUGCGAAAGCGUGGGGAGCAAACAGG